UAUGAGCAUGUUCUAACAAUCUCAAGUUCGCUUCCUUUGGUUAACCACUAGUUUAAACCGUUUUUCCACCUCAUCACAGAUUUACUUGUCACAAAAAUAAUCUGUGAUCUAAACUUAAUGUAAAAGGCAAAGGCUAAGAUGGAAUCUCUGCUGUCUGCACUCUGAGCUUCCACCCAUAUUCUCUCCCCUACCCCAAGUGUGGUGGGACAUGCCUCUAGCCAGUGGAAUAGGCAGUGGUGAGAGGAUUUUGAAAAUUAAUAUAUUGUCCUAAAGCAGUUGACUUGAACUAAUUGAAAAGAUGUCAUCUUGGGAAGGCCUGACUUAAUCAGCUGAAAGCACUUAGAAGAAUGGGACCAUCCUUGAUGAGAAGAGCUGUCUCUUCUCCUCUGGUUUUGAAAAUGUGAGCUGUCACAUUGUAAAAAGGCAACAGAGAGAGCUGUGGAGCAAGGGACUGAGAGGCUCCCAGGAAGGGAGGCAACAGCCAAGAAGAAAACUCUGACAUCAACCUCACAAUGGCAGGAAGCUGAAUUUUCCUAACAACUGCAGAGAUUUUGGAAGAUAAUCUUUCCCAAGCUGAUCCCCUAGGUGAGAAUGCAGUCUGACCAACACCUUCAUUGCACCCUCAUAAGAUCCUGAGGAGAUAAUCCAGGGAGCUGUGUCCAGAUUCCUGAUCAAGAAAUAUAAGAAAAAGUUGCCAAGGGGAGACCUGCUGCCCUGCUGCCUGCUCUACCUUGACUCUGCCUCUCCAAUGGACCAAGAAACAGGUUCAUCUAGUCAAGGCUAUGGUUUUUCCAGUAAUCAAAUAUGAAUGUGACAG